AAUCAUUCAAGGGAUUAACAAGAUGAUGAUAUAUAUUUUUAAAGAGUUGAAAAUUUGAGACAUGUGUCAUUGAUGGUUAAUUCCUAAAUUACUCCUGAUCAUAGGAUUAUCAUAGAGAUGGUGAUUGAUCCAGAUAAAUCAGUGCAUAGAUCGCUUUUUUCAGACAGAUAAGUCUCGAGUCUGCAGUGUAGUGAUACUGAAGUGAGUGUAUGUGGUUGUUAGAGAACAACUAGCACUGAGCGUGACCAAUACGAAAAGUCACAUGGAUGUUUGCUCACUCGUUAGUGACUUUCUCGAUGCUGC
rnacentral:lncRNA from 1 species